CUCUCUCUCCCUCUUUCAUCAGUCUCUCUCACCCUCAUUGUACGCUGCCACACUUGUCUCCAUGGGAACCGCUCUGGGAUUGGGUGUUGUUCCUGUGACCUCUCGAGCUCUUGGAGUUGAGCGAACUUUUUUUUUCUCCUGCACCCUCCAUCCUCGCUCGUGCGCGUUUUUAAAGCAAAGUGUGUGUGUGCGCAUGUGUGUGCGAGAACUGGAAAAUGAAAAAUUAUAUCUGCCUGAAAAUGAGCUCAUGCGUGCGUGAUGCAGAGACAAUGUGUGUGAGAGUGAGUGUGUGUGUGUGUGUUACAGGAGUGCAGCCGCUCGGUCCACGCAUGUGCACCUGCAUUGUCCCGUGGCUGCAGCCGGCCACCAACUCUACAUUCAGAGGCACCCCGUUGUCCGUCAAUCCCUAUUCAUGGCUGUUAGGCCAAACGUGAUCAUAUCUUUUCAUGCUGUGCUACCAAGCGACACGCACAUCUGAAUACACAAAGAUAGCGAAACUUAGAAACCCAUGUCGGUGGAAAAUUUAAACCAUUAACUCACCAAGUCUUUCAAUAUUUAACCAAAGGAAGAAGAAAACAAAAAAGUGUUUAUCUGUGUCGCGGCGUCAGUCUUGGAUUUCGUCUCAGGCGCUCACGAGAUUUUGAAGCUCAAAUAGCACAAUAUACCAGCUGGUGCAGUCAAAGGGACCCUACGCAGUCUGGCUGAAUUAUGGAGGAAACCUUUUGACAAGAGCUCCCCCUGGAUACACCAAUCUUCAGUCUUUACAGGAACGGAGGACAAACACGCUCUCCUAUACCGACAGCAGCCAAAUCAAACAACCAAUCCCCCCCGAAACGAAGCGAGACGUUGCUCCUGGUUUUAACCGACACAUCAACAACCAGGCCACCGUCACCAACGGGCCUUCUCUAAAACAUCAAACCUAAGUCAACCAUGAGUACUGAAGGAAAUAUCCAGCUGCCAAAACCACCAGCAUUCACAGAGUCCGGAUUUUCUUCCAAUCUAUUUUCUAAAGUGAAACUGAGCGGCAAAGAUGGAUGAGAAACAGAAACUGACGCAACCUUAAAGCUAUUCGAAGCUAAGCCACAUUGAGCAGCAGACAGUACAACAGUCUCUGUCAGACUUCUAAAGCUGAAUUCAAGACAUGUAAUGAUUAAUCCUUAUAAUCAAAUAUAAAUAUUUUCCAACUUCAGUUUAAUAGAAGUUCACAUUAUAUGCAAUCACAUGCCUCACUAGAGUAAACGUACUAUUAUUAACAUUUAAAAUGCAUUACUAGUAAAGCAUAUGCAUUCAAAUUUUCAUUCAUAGUCACUGUCCUCCUUUUAAAGUAUUACAGUUAGUGUAUAUUUCUAUAUAUACUUACAGUUGCUUGUCAGCAUAAUCUCAUAGCUGUAAUUACCCAUUUAGAAAUUUCAUAUCAUCUAUUAUCAUAUUUACAAGGUGUAUGUAAAACUAAAAAGUAAUCAAUAACGGCAAAAAAAGUGCAUCAUAUACAUAAAGUUAAAUUAAUUGCACAACUUCUGUGUGUUUUUAGAUUGAAAUCUUCCUUAAAUAAUCCAGUCAAGGGCCGUACACACCAGGCCUACAGGACGUCCCCACUCCUGAACCAGUCUGCUCUAUACACAUUUGAUUUUUUCAUGCUUAGGAAAGCAGAGGUGACUGCUUUUGACAUUAUGCUUCACACUAUGGGGCUAUAUG